rnacentral:tRNA from 1 species
CGGGGUGUAGCGCAGUUGGUAGCGCGCCACAUUUGGGAUGUGGAUGCCGCGAGUUCGAGUCUCGCCACUCCGACCA